rnacentral:lncRNA from 1 species
AAAAGAUGUUCACGCUGGCGCUGCUGCUGGGCAUGUUCCUGUUUACCUGCGAUUUCCCACCUAUCAUGGCAUCGUGUCCAGAACACAUGGAACCAGGUGCCUGCAAUGGUGGAAGCUUUUUUCCGCAAAUGUAUUGUGGUGACGUAUUCAUAGUGGUAGAGAAGUGGAGCUGUACGCCGAAAAAUAAAGAAAGGUGCGUCUGCACGGUGCCUUUGCACAGAGACAUUGACGAUCAAUGCGUUCCUAAGAAUAAAUGCAAGCAAGGGUGGACAAUAGGUAAACCUAUCCCCGCAACGAAGC